rnacentral:misc_RNA from 1 species
GAUGAAGAACGUAGCGAAAUGCGAUAAGUAAUGUGAAUUGCAGAAUUCCGUGAAUCAUCGAAUCUUUGAACGCAUAUUGCGCCCCCUGGUAUUCCGGGGGGCAUGCCUGUCCGAGCGUCAUUGCAACCUUCAAGCGCGGCUUGUGUGUUGGGUCUCGUCCCCCGUGGACGGGCCCGAAAGGCAGUGGCGGCGUCCCGACAUGGUGCCCGAGCGUAUGGGAAUCCUCUUCCGCUCGAAUCGGCCCAUGCGGCGCUGGUCGUAACCAAAUUUUUUACCGGUUGACCUCGGAUCAGGUAGGGAUUCCCGCUGAACUUAAGCAUAUCAAUAAGCGGAGGA